rnacentral:rRNA from 1 species
UGGGGGAAACCCUGACGCAGCAACGCCGCGUGAGUGAUGAAGGCCUUCGGGUCGUAAAGCUCUGUCAGAGGGGAAGAAGUGCAGGGGCGCUAAUAUCGCUUUUGCUUGACGGUACUCUCAACGGAAGCACCGGUUAACUCCGUGCCAGCAGCCGCGGUAAUACGGAGGGUGCGAGCGUUGUUCGGAAUUAUUGGGCGUAAAGCGCGUGUAGGCGGUUUGGUAAGUCUGAUGUGAAAGCCCCGGGCUCAACCUGGGAAGGUCAUUGGGAACGGUCAGACUUGAAUACGG